AAAAAUUAGUUAAAUUAUAACAUUAGUAUGUCAAACUAAAAUUAUUAAAAUCUUAAUAUUUUUUA
rnacentral:tRNA from 1 species